rnacentral:rRNA from 1 species
UACGAAGGGAGCUAGCGUUGUUCGGAAUUACUGGGCGUAAAGGGUGCGUAGGCUGUUUAAUAAGUUAGAUGUGAAAGCCUCGGUUUCAAGCUGAGAAUAGCAUUUAAUACUGUUAGACUAGAGGAUAAGAGAGGAUAGUGGAAUUCUGAGUGUAGAGGUAAAAUUCGUAGAUAUUCGGAGGAACACCAGAGGCGAAAGCGUCUAUCUGGAUUAAUCCUAACGCUGAGGCACGAAAGUAUGGGGAGCAAACAGG